AUUGAACGCUGGCGGCAGGCCUAACACAUGCAAGUCGAGCGGAGCGGCGGACGGGUGAGUAAUGCCUAGGAAUCUGCCUGGUAGUGGGGGAGGACGUCCGGAAACGGGCACUAAUACCGCAUACUAUCAGAUGCGCCUGGGUCGGAUUAGCUAGUUGGUGGGGUAAGGGCCUACCAAGGCGACGAUCUUUAACUGGUCUGAGAGGAUGAUCAGUCACACUGGAACGGAGACACGGUCCAGAGUACUACGGGAGGCAGCAGUGGGGGAUAUUGCACAAUGGGCGAAAGCCUGAUGCAGCGACGCCGCGUGGGGGAUGCAGGCUGUCGGGUUGUAAAACUCUUUCGCUAUCGAACGGGUAGGUGGAGAAGAAGCGCCGGCUAACUACGUGCCAGCAGCCGCGGUAAUAC
rnacentral:rRNA from 1 species